AGAGAGUGAAGCCCUUUUCUGGAUUGUAAGCAAGAACAGGGUGGUGCACCUGAAGGUGGUGCUUGGGUGGAAGAUCCUGAGAAGAGGGGCAGGGAAGGGAAGACCUCCUGAGGUGGGAGACUGAGAGAAGACAGGGAAGCUCCCAGGUGAGAGCUGGGAGAAGCCAGCCCUUUCUGUGUGAGACAAGGGGUAAGAGCUACCUUUGAGAGAGUAGUAGUAGUAAUAACAAUAAUAAUAAUAAAUAUUUUAUUUAUAUCCCGCCCUCCCCAGCCGAAGCCGGGCUCAGAGCCGCUAACAACAAUAAAAGUAACACAGCAUUCUAAAAUCAAUUCAUUCUAAAAUCAAUUCAAAAUCAAAUUGAUGGCAACCAUUGGGCUAGAGUUCUGUGAGGAUGACCAAAGGAGGGGGUCAGACUGUGCCUUGUCCAAAGGCCUGGUGGAACAGCCCUGUCUUGCAGGCCCUGCGGAAAGAUGUCAAGUCCCGCAAGGACCUAGUUUCUUGGGACAGAGCGUUCCACCAAUUCGGGGCCAGAGCUGAAAAGGCCCUGGCUCUGGUUGAGGCCAGCCUAACCUCCCUGUGGCCCGGGACCUCCAAGAUGUUUUUAUUUGAAGACUGUAAGUUUCUCUGUGGGGCAUACCAGGAGAGGCGAUCCCGUAGGUACGAGGGUCCUAGGCCGUAUAGGGCUUUAAAGGUUAAAACCAGCGCCUUGAACCUGAUCCUGUACUCCACUGGGAGCCAGUGCAGCUGGUAUAGCACCGGGUGAAUGUGAUCCCACGGCGAGGACCCCGUAAGGAAGACUUUGCAUUUUCCUUUCUCUGUUUUAGUUUUUAUUUAGAUGAGUUUCCUUUACCUUGCUGUAUCAUGAACAAGCUUUAAUGAAACCUUAUGGGAAGAAAGGGGUGGAGAAACAAGCCGGCUCUAGCACUGUGACUAAUCUUAAGUGUAGCUGCAAGCAAACCAAAUUAUACCAACAUUGUCUCCCAUCCGACGUCUGCAGGUUAUUUACCUUUCAGCUUGUAGUCAACCUGUAUAUAAAUAUUAUCUUUAAUAACCAAAUAUAUACUGAGCAGAAGUCCUUCUAAAGUGUGUGCGUGCGCACACACACACAUACACUUUGGGCGGCGUGGGUCUAGCCUUCUGCAGAAGCUGGUUUCUUGGUUACCUCCAACCUACCAGUUUAAUACUUGAACUUUCUCUUGUCGCCAGGCAUUCUCUCCCUUCCCACAACACAUGCAGAACAUCACGACAAAAUUCUUUGUGUAAAAACUCCAGCAUGUCUUGGAAUUUUGGCUGUGACCCCAGGCUUUCAAAGCUCAAAAAAUAUCAAGCAGAGGAUGUGGCUGGGCCCUCAAAAAGUGAAGAAUAUGAGAACAAAACAGAGUCAUUAAAUACAAUGCCAGCUGCUGCUGCUGCUGCUUGUUUAGGCAUCUCUUAUUAUUAAACCGCUCUAGUAGCAACUGGUGUGCUGCGUUUGUUACCUCAAUUGUUCACAGGCAUUGGAUAGAGUCGUUCCAAGCAGCCUAAGAGCAGAAAGCUAACAAGGAAAAAGGAACUUGGGCCAAUGCGGUUGCAGUCCUUAAACACACGUCUCCCUGAGCAAGUGGAAUUGAAUUCGGUGGAAUUUACUGCUGGUUUCUCGUGUACAUAGAAUGAAAAUGCAUAGCAGUUUCCAGAACUUUUCCCAAAACUUCUUCAUUUCAAUUUCACUUGCCUGUGACAUACCCUUCAUGUACUUCAGGUUUGAAGAAACCUUUAAAAGUGUGCUUUACUUGGGAUAAUCAUUCUUAAUUAUUACUUUUAUACAGGGCUUUUUUUUUUAGCAGAACUUGCUGGAACUCUGUUCUGGCUUUUUUCAGGUGGGUACCAUUGCCAUUGUAAGACUACAAGGGAGGCAUUCCUGGUGUGUCCCGGCACCUCUUUUUCUAGAAAAAUAGUAUUGCUUUUAUAGAUUAAUUUAGAAGGCAUCACAGAAGAGCCUCGGGUUGAAGUUCAGCCAUGAUUUUAUUUCAUUUAUUUAUGUACACUCUCAGACACAAGCCCCUACAAGGCACCCUCCUGUUCUCCCCCCACCCAGAGUCUCCUGCCCACUGUACAACUCAGCUCUUCACUUGCUCCAUUAAUGGGACUCAGCCCUGUGCCUGGGACACAAAAUAGGGUUGUCCUCUGUCUCACUAAGCCCCAGGCUAUUGCAUUAAGGCAGAACUGGAACAUCGUGGGCUACUUGGGUGCGGGGCAAAGAGCAUUUCUUAAACUUAAUAUAUAGAUGAUACGGCUGUUAUGACAGAGAUAGGACAGUGCCAAGUCUUAAAAUUAAUUCUGAGAAUUAAUUUCUUAGUGCAGUCCCUAAACUAACAACAACUCAAGCAAUGGUGUUGCCAAGAUGUCCCGGGAUGUUUAAAUAUUUGGGCUUCCACAUUCCAAAGCAAAAGGCAAUGGCUUUGAGGUUUAUUUCUUAUUACAAUCAAACAGUAUAUAAAUUUUAUGAAAUAAACAUACAUUAAAUUGAUACCUUGAUGAGUGCAAAGAAUUAGAAUGGAUUCAAAAAUAUGGUUCAGGGGUGGGGCAGAAAUCUGUUCUGGGGAGAAUUUUCUCAGCACGUAUGAGUCUGAUGUUUCACGGGCUCCUUAAGCCUUUUUCCAGCACUGCUAAAGAAGUCUUCUCAGCCCCUUAGGUGGGUGCUGUUGCAGGCCAGUGGGCUUCUUCAUGAAGGGCCUGGGUAAACCAGGGGUCAUUUUUGUCACUUUUGUGAUGAAAAGGUAAAGGUACCCCCGACCAUUAGGUCCAGUGGCGGACGACUCUGGGGUUGCAGCGGUCAUCUCACUCUAUAGGCUGAGGGAGCCGGCGUACAGCUUCCGGGUCAUGUGGCCAGCAUGACUAAGCCGCUUCUGGUGAACCAGAGCAGCGCAUGGAAACGCCAUUUACCUUCCCGCUGGAGCGGUACCUAUUUAUCUACUUGCACUUUGACGUGCUUUCGAACUGCUAGGUUGGCAGGAGCAGAGACCGAGCAACGGGAGUUCACCCCGUCGUGGGGAUUCGAACCACCGACCUUCUGAUCGGCAAGUCCUAGGCUCUGUGGUUUAACCACAGCACCACCCACGUCCCUGUGAUGAAGUGUACCUGCAGCAAUUCCAGUGUCCUACAGGUGCAAAACAUGGCAACAUUUGUGCAACCGAAGAACUGCUUGCCCUUGCAUUCAGCACAAAUAACAUUAGAAAUACUGGUUUUAUCAGACAAUCCAGACACACCCCUUCUGCAGCUUUGAGUAAGCCCCUUUUCUGGGAAUGCAUUAUGGCUAGAGCUAUCAGCAGUAACCAUAACCCCACAGACAACUUCCUCUACUGUGAUUUGCAAGGCUCACAUGUUCUGUGGGAAUUUCUUGCCACGUAGCAUAUGGGGAACUGAGGAAUUGAGAGUUAAUUAUUCACUUUCAGAAAAGUGAGUCUUCUGCUGGUUGUGCUGGUACAGGUUGAUGAGCAAGAAAUUUUAAGGUUUCCCUAGUGUCACACCUUUUGCCAAAGGAGGCUUUUGAGACUUGGGCAGUUGAGGAGGAUGAGAGUGCAGGAAUACACAUCAGCCCACAUGAGAGAUGAAAGAAAUCAUAGCUGUAGCACUGUUAGGGGUAAACUACAGUUCCCAGCAUGCUUUGGGAAAAGCUAUGUGCUUUAAAUGUGAUUCAGAUAUGUGGUGUGGAUGUGACCAUAAGGGAUCUGUGGUUCUGUAAUCACAUCAACUCAAACAGAAAGGGAAGAAAUGGAGGCAGUGAGAGAUUUUACUUUCUUGGGCUCCAUGAUCACUGCAGAUGGUGACAGCAGCCACGAAAUUAAAAGACGCCUGCUUCUUGGGAGAAAAGCAAUGACAAACCUAGACAGCAUCUUAAAAAGUAGAGACAUCACCUUGCCAACAAAGGUCCAUAUAGUUAAAGCUAUGGUUUUCCCAGUAGUGAUGUAUGGAAGUGAGAGCUGGACCAUAAAGAAGGCUGAUCACUGAAGAAUGGAUGCUUUUGAAUUCUGGUGCUGGAGGAGACUCUUGAGAGUCCCAUGGACUGCAAGAAGAUCAAACCUCUCCAUUCUGAAGGAAAUCAGCCCUGAGUGCUCACUGGAAGGACAGAUCCUGAAGCUGAGGCUCCAAGACUUUGGCCACCUCAUGAGAAGAGAAGACUCCCUGGAAAAGACCCUGAUGUUGGGAAAGACACAAGGAGAAGGGGACAGCAGAGGACGAGAUGGUUGGAUAGUGUUCUUGAAGCUACCAGCAUGAGUUUGACUAAACUGUGGGAGGCAGUGGAAGACAGAAGUGCCUGGCGUGCUCUGGUCCAUGGGGUCACGAAGAGUCGGACACGACUAAACGACUAAACAACAACAAUCACAUCAAGUGCGCUAUGUUCUGCGCUCAGUUUGCCCAGCUUCUCCUCCAGUGUUUCUGCCUGAUGAUCUUUUGAAAAUGUGUAUUUGGGCUUUUGUUUCUUCUUUUACCACCACUGCAAUUCUGCCUGUGUUAAAGGGGCCUCCCCAGCUGCACUAUGUUCCAAAAUAAUCUAACAUCCAAAUGCAGGCUACCCGCCCUCUUAUGUGUUUUGAAAAAAUGUUGUUGAUGUCCCUAUCCUGCAGUAAGGUGCUGGUCAGAACUGGGGUUAAAAAUAAGCUAACAAUUGGAAGACUAUUUGGCUAUCCAAGCCUGCCCAGUCACUCUCUGUUUUGGGACAGAUGGUACAGAACUCCCCUAUACAGUGGUACCUCAGGUUAAGAACUUAAUUCGUUCCGGAGGUCCGUUCUUAACCUGAAACCGUUCUUAACCUGAGGUACCACUUUAGCUAAUGGGGCCUCUCGCCGCCACCACCGCACGAUUUCUGUUCUUAUCCUGAAGCAAAGCUCUUAACCCGAGGUACUAUUUCUGGGUUAGCGGAGUCUGUAACCUGAAGCAUCUGUAAUCCGAGGUACCACUGUAGCUCUCACACAUGACAUUAGGGUCACCCCCAGAUUAGUGGGUCUGGCCAGCAGACUUUUGGUAUGGGAAUUCAGCAAGAAAUUUAUUAAAGAAUCAACUGACUUCAUUUGUUUGAAGGUUCUAAUGUUGACAUUAAAUCUAAGAAGUUACUCACCUUUCAUUAUGGAAGCAUGUUUGUCCAUUACAUAAAAAUGGACAUUAGUUUGUAGUAUUAGACUGCAUGGAACAUAAGCGUUGCUUAACACACCAAGUCUAAGAAGAACAGAGAAAUCUGAUACAACCUUAUUGACUGUUCAGAUCACUCUGUUUUGGAUGACUCCUUUCUGUCAGUCAAAAGGGUUUGUGACUUGUACAUCUUUGGGGGGAGGGAUAGAUUUCAAAUAACAGCAUAUUCAAUGAGCUCCCUCUGUGUAACUGAAGAUGGAAAAUAUGAAGAAUUGGUUGUAAUUCACAUUGUUAUAAUUUACACUUAUCAGUAUUAUGUCCAAAGGUUUCUUUUUUAGUUGUGUAGUUAUCACUAAAAACAAAAAGCUUAAAAAAUAUAUUUUCUAAAUCUUGUUAUGUGAAUGUUAAGAUUCAUGUUGGGGGUUAUGAUUGUUUGCUUAUGACUGACUGUCGAUUUGUUCAGAACAAAUUAGAAAUAGCUUAAAAUCACAGGAAAGCAUUUGAUGUGUCCCAUGAUACCCACGUUGAUAUGAUGUUAAACUACAGGCUGGGUGUUAUGACUGUUCUAUUUGCCUUGCACCGCACGCCUGGUCCACCAUCUCCAGUUACUUUAUGUAAUAAAGGAUUUGCAUGAUAGUGACCCUAUGAUCCUGUCAAUGUGACGUCACAAUUGGUACUGAAACGUAGGAGAAAAAUUAUGGCAGUUGGUUGUUUUGUCUGCAUCUUGAGUGCUUUAUGGGGGGAAAUGUAUUACAAACGUGCUGUCAGCUCAAUUUUGAGUAGGCCCGGUUCUAACAGAGAGAAAGAGCUCCAAUUUAUUCAUGUGAACUUGCAAAAAGGGGAAAGAAAUCUGAGCGCAAUCAAAGUAGCUCACAAAUAGUAAGAUCAAUCCACUCAUUCUUAGGAAUGAGGAUCCAUUUCUUGACGCUUUGUGUAGAGAAGGCUAAAUUUAUGUGUUAAUAUAUUCACAAAUGAAUAAUUCAGCCAGUUUGGAUAACACCCAUGCUGAGAGUGCUUACAGCUUCCUCCCUGUUUCUAACACUGUCUGUCAAUUAUAAUGCAUGGAUGACCCAACAGGACAUCUCUCUCCCCACUGCACCAGGGUAAAUACCGAUCCUCAGCAGUCACAGCUUUCACCCAUAUCUAGCAGUGGCAACAGUCUGAAAAAAAUAAUGAUCUUUCAGUUCUCAGAACAACUCUGCAGUAGGACUACCAUCAGUAUGGGGCUCUAAUCUGUGCUCCACAAAUAAACUAAGCCAACAUUUAGAGACAUCCCAAAUUCUCCAGUCCACGUGAUUAAAUCCUACAUAUUAAAUGGAAGCUAGGACUGUUCAAUGGGACACAGGUGGCGCUGUGGGUUAAACCACAGAGCCUAAGACUUGCCGAUCAGAAGGUUGGCGGUUCAAAUCCCCGUGAUGGGGUGAGCUCCCGUUGCUCGGUCCCUGCUCCUGCCAACCUAGCAGUUCGAAAGCACGUCAAAGUGCAAGUAGAUAAAUAGGUACCGCUCUGGCGGGAAGGUAAACGGCAUUUCCGUGUGCUGCUCUGGUUUUGCCAGAAGCAGCUUAGUCAUGCUGGCCACAUGACCCGGAAGCUAUACGCCGGCUCCCUCAGCCAAUAAAGCGAGAUGAGCGCUGCAACCCCAGAAUCGGCCACGACUGGACCUAAUGGUCAGGGGUCCCUUUACCUUUACCUUUUAAGACUGUUCAAUGAUCUUUAAACGGAUGCCUUCCAGUAUAACAGAGGGGUUUUAACAACAACUUUAUGUUUGGAAUACAUAUGUCAGCAAGAAAAUGUAGCGCGGACUAUGUUGAGCUUUGUCUUCAUAGUUACCAUCCACUAGCCAAAUCAUGUAUCCAACAGGUACAUAAAGCAUUCUCACAAGAUUCCCUGGUUUAAAAGGUCCAAAAACGACCAGCCAGAAUGAACAAAUGCUUUUAUUUCCCAAAGCCACUAACUUUCGCUGAGUGCAUGUCCCAGCCAGGGACACAGUUCACACGGGUCAAGUAGAGUGGCACUUUGGCAACAUGUCUAAAAUACUAGGAUUAUAAAAAUGAAGAGGUAGUCAGGAAACGAAACAAAAAUCUCCACUGUGAAAAUCUGUAACUGGUGCAGAGCACUGCACAAAGGCAAUAAUGGUGACAUGUACACAAAUUUUCAGAACCAAAGAGAACUAAUUUGUGUUGUGCAGACAUCAUAUGACGUCUGCACAUAGUUACAUGCCCACUCUGCUACAAUUGUGUUUACUGGCUGAACACCCCUCCAUUUUUCAAUAUGUUGGCAGGUUAUACAAAAUAAAUUAUUCUACAAGUUGGAAACGAGGGGAAUGCUAGCUUCUCCAAUCCACACACUUCCUUUGUAGACCAUCUGAUAUUAUAUAUUCAGGAGAGAUAAAGCCAGUUUCAGAGCAGGGAAGAAUAAGAGAGCUCACCAGGAAAGGUAAGCCAAUUUUGAGCUACUUUUGACUCUCCCAAAAGUAAACUGAAUAGCUGAAUGCUGAAAACUAGACACUGGAGUGUGGUAGUUAGGCAAAGGAAUGCUGAAUGAAAGUACCGACGUCUAAUUUUAUUAGCACUCAUCUUUAAAAUUUAUUUUUCUGCCUUCUGGUCAGAGUCACAAUAUUCAAGGUGACAAAUGAGGACAGUUAUCAGAAAAUAUAUUUUGCAGCAUGGGAGUGUUUGCAUGGAACAAAGUUUGAAAACUCAGGCCUUUCUCAAGGGUGGAAGCAGUCAAAAGAGUGGAAGCAGUCUACCUCUCUUUCAAAUCAGAACCAGUGAAGGCGGUGAAGGUGCUGUGUGAGUGUCCGGAGGCGGUUGGAGGAUGGAUGGCGGCUAACAGAUUGAGGUUGAAUCCUGACAAGACAGAAGUACUGUUUUUUGGGGACAGGGGGUGGGUGGGGGUGGGGGACUCCCUGGUCUUGAAUGGGGUAACUGUGCCCCUGAAGGACCAGGUGCGCAGCCUGGGAGUCAUUCUGGACUCACAGCUGUACAUGGAGGCGCAGGUCAAUUCUGUGUCCAGGGCAGGUGUUUAUCAGCUCCAUCUGGAACACAGGCUGAGACCCUACCUGCCCACGGACUGUCUUGCCAGAGUGGUGCCCGCUCUAGUUAUCUCUCGCUUGGACUACUGCAAUGUGCUCUACGUGGGGCUACCUUUGAAGGUGAUACGGAAACUACAACUAAUCCAGAACGCAGCAGCCAGACUGGUGACUGGGAGUGGCCACCGAGACCAUAUAACACCGGUCCUGAAAGACCUACAUUGACUCCCAGUACGUCUCCAAGCACAAUUCAAAGUGUUGGUGCUGACCUUUAAAGCCCUAAACAGCCUCGGCCCAGUAUACCUGAAGAAGCGUCUCCACCCCCAUCGUUCAACCUGGACACUGAGGUCCAGCUCCGAGGGCCUUCUGGCGGUUCCCUCACUGCGAGACGUGAGGUUAUAGGGAACCAGGCAGAGGGCCUUCUUGGUAGUGGCGCCCACCCUGUGGAACGCCCUCCCACCAGAUGUCAAAGAGAAAAAUAACUACCAAACUUUUAGAAGACAUCUGAAGGCAGCCCUGUUUAGGGAAGAUUUAAUGUUUAAUAGGUUAUUGUAUUUUAAUGUUCUGUUGGAAGCCGCCCAGGGUGGCUGGGGAAACCCAGCCAGAUGGGUGGGGUAUAAAUAAUUAAUAAUAAUAAUAAUAAUAAUAAUAAAAACAGUAGCUCUCAAAUCUGUUUAUUUACUUCUGCUACUUCCUUCUCUAUUACUCUCACCUUCUUUUACAAUUUUAAUUCCCCACAAAGUGCAGUCCUCCUUUACCCUUUAAAAACAGGAGGCUAGGGGAAUGGUGGUGCAGUAAAUUAUUUUGCCAACAAGUUCAAAUCUAGAGCAAUGCUACCAACUGGUGUGGUGUUUUUUUAAGCAAAAGGAUAUUGAAGACACAGAAUGAAAGCUCCAUUUGCAGUAAAGAGACACAGACAUAUACCAGAAAUGGGGAUUUCAUUCACUGUUUCCAAUGUUGUUGUUGUUGUUUAUUCGUUUAGUCGUGUCCGACUCUUCGUGACCCCAUGGACCAGAGCACGCCAGGCACCUCUGUCCUCCACUGCCUCCCGCAGUUUGGUCAAACUCAUGCUGGUAACCUCGAAAACACUAUCCAACCAUCUUGUCCUCUGUCACCCCCUUCUCCUUGUGCCCUCCAUCUUUCCCAACAUCAGGGUCUUCUCCAGGGAGUCUUCUCUUCUCAUGAGGUGGCCAAAGUACUGGAGCCUCAGCUUCACGAUCUGUCCUUCCAGUGAGCACUCAGGGCUGAUUUCCUUCAGAAUGGAGAGGUUUGAUCUUCUUGCAAUACCCCUUUGCUAAGAAAAGCACCUGUCAGCAGAGCUGCUCCAGAUUUGAUAUUGAAUUGCAGCAGGAUGCUAUUUACACUUUGAUAGGUUUUGAAAGUGAGGAAGAAUGAAUAUUUAAAAGCUAUAUAAAAAAACGUUUUUAAUAAAUCUUUAGAAAAGCAGACAUACAUAUAUGUGCUUCAACAUUUUAAUGCAAAAAUUCUCUUUGACCACUUACUAUACGAUGGAAAAAUUAUUCACAGGCAAAGAAGAAAUAAUCUUUCCCGAGUUUGAUUCUUAAAAAAGAUUACAAGUUUUUCUGAAGUCAGAGCAAAUCAUGACAGAAUUUUUAAAUAGAAGGUAAAAUAAAAUGUAACAAAGUAAAAAUAAUAGUGUGAAUAUUUUCCAUCUAUUUAGUUGUCACAUACGUCAAGCCAUUAUGCAAUUCAAGCACUCCAAGCCUCUUCUUUAGUUGAGAUAUGUGCUGUUCAAGAUUCAUACCAGUGCUUUCAAGGAUCCAGUUCGUUUAUAAUAAGAAUCUUGAACUGCAAAAGCCCUGUGGGCACUCCAGCCAACCAACACUGUCCAGCUUGCAUUUAACCAUCUUGCUAACGUGACUAUCCUAAGAGAAGUCCAAUGCCAGGAGCAGAGGGGAAAGCUCUUUCUCUCUCUCUCUCUCUCUCUCUCUCUCUCUCUCUCUCUCUCUCUCCUGUUUGACAAAGAAAAUACAGACUCUCUAGUGAGAUUAAAGGGAUGCUGAGAGAAGGAUCUAAGAAUAAAUCUUGCAAAGGAGCUAUAGAAUGCACCAUGGCAUAAAAAGCCAUAUCCAAGUGUCAGGAUAAAAGAACAUACCUGAAAGGUCCUUCACCACUGGCCUUAGACACCUAAAACGUUAAAUCUGAGUGAUGGCACAAGGGCCAUGGGGGAAAGAUUACAAGGCUAGACGGACCUUCUUCUACAAACUUUAUUGGAGAAAGUAUUUGUGGAAUGUGAGAAAAUUGUUCUCCCAUUCAAACAGCAAAGCAUCCUUCUGUAUGUUAACUCUGUGUGGUGUAGUAUUUAAGAGUGGUGGACUCGUAAUCUGGUGAACUGGGUUUGCGUCUCCGCUCCUCCACCUGCAGCUGCUGGGUGACCUUGGGCCAGUCACACUUCUUGAAGUCUCUCAGCCCCACUCACCUCACAGAGUGUGUGUUGUGGGGGAGGAAGGGAAAGGAGAAUGUUAGCCGCUUUGAGACUCCUGAAGAGGAGUGAAAGGCGGGAUAUCAAAUCCAAAUCCAAAGGUUGGUGGACAAAGCACAGUAUUACCAUACAAAGAAAUUUUGUUUUUUUAUAUUCAUAGCGGGAAGCCAGAUUGUUGCAGAGUACUGGAAGGUAGAAGAAUGGGCAAGGACACACAAAUGGAAAAGGAACCAAACAAAAUGAAGCAUCAUGACAUGGAGAGUAUGACAACGACUCUCUUUUUGUCCUUUUCUCACAGUGCAGUUGGGAAUG